GAAGGUUGUAGCUCAGUGGUAGAUCAUCUACUUUGCAAUCAGAAGGUCUCUGGUUCACCUCCUGGCAUCUUCA